UUGGGGAGGCCUCAGGAAACUUAAAAUCAUGGCAGAAGGCACCUCUUCACAGGUUGGUAGGGGAGAGAAUGAGUACAAGCAGGGGAAAUGCCAGAUGCUUAUAAAACCAUCAGAUCUUUUGAGAGUCACUCACUACCAUGAGAACAGCAUGGGGGAAACUGCCCCCAUAAUUCAAUUACCUCCACCUGGUCUCUCCCUUGACACAUGGGGCUUAUGGGGAUUACAAUUCAAGAUGAGAUUUGGGUGGGGACACAAAGCCUAACCAUAUCAAUAUUCAUACAUCAUUUUCUUUAAAUUGAUACAACUAAAGUGACUGGAUGUUUGAUUUUACACUACAUUUGCCAUUUCAUCACUUCCCAGGGGAACUCAAGUUAUCUCAAAAUAUAGCACGAUUUCCCCAAUUAAGGUUUUUUUUUUUGGAAACAGGGUCUCAGUCUGUCACCCAGACUGGAGUUCAGUGGUACCAUCAUAGCUCACUGCAAGCUCAAACUCCUGGGCACAUGCAAUUGUCCCACUUCAGCCUCCCAAAUAGCUGGCACUACAGGCUCAUCCCAUGGUGCCCAGCUAAAAAUUUUUCUUUUCUUUUUUUUUUUUUUUUUUUUUUUUGUAGAGAUGGGUCUCACUUUGUUGCCCAGGUUAGUCUCAAACUUCUGGCUUCAAACAAUCUUCCCACCUCAGUCUCCCACAGCACAGGGAUUACCUGUGUGAGCCACUGCACCAGGCCCCACUCCAUUUCUUAAAUGCGUUUCUUCAUACUCUUAGAUGGUAGGUUGGGAGAGAAGUAGUCUGUAGCCUCUUUCACUGUCACUAGUUGGGAUAGACAACCAAAACACUUAAAGUCCUGGUGCUUUACUUAGAAUGUAUCAUUAUAGGUCCUGUUGUCUGUGGGUGAAUUAAUAAAGGAUCUACUAUCAUGGCGGGGGCGGGGGUUUGCUUUAUGAUGAAUGGUCUCACACAAAUUCUAUUUUUAGAAUGUCGUGACCGACACUAUUGUACACCAACAAACUACUGUUCCCAUGCAAACUCAGGAGAGACUUGCCACCAACAGCUGGUGUCCUUCACAGCUGUUGACUUCCAUACUGUUUUAAGACCUGUCAUUCUCAGAUAACUUAGACAUUUCAGAGGCAGAUAUGUACUUCCUUCUGAGACUAUGGCUUUUAAAUCUUUGUUAGUGUAAAAUGUCCUUCACAGACACAAUCUUACAUAGAACUCAAAUAUUAGAAACAUGCUGAAGUGGAGGUACCCUAGGAGAAGCAGUGAAGAAAAAACACACAGGUUGCCUCCUGGUCCCACCUCAUACCAUCUUUAAGGCUCUCUCUCAGAAGGCUAGCCCUCUGCAGAACCCAAUUUGAGGACUCCUGCUCUAGACUAUCUGUAGAACAAGCCACAUCACAUACAAUUGCCCAUAUUCUCUGAGACAUAUGAUGGAAAAAUGGUAGACUGCAGAAUCUGCCUUUUAGCAAAAAGCAUGCUGGUGUGUAUUGGCACAUCAUCUAACAGGAAUUCCCCUAGGACACACCAACCUGAGGGGAGAGCUGAGUUGCCUUAUGAUGGGACUGUCAUACAUACUGCUGGCUUCCCCAGUUUCUCAGGUGCUACUUCAAUUCCCAAGUUGCUGCAGGGCUGCCCCAGCUGCUGCUAUAUUUCUCUGAGGACUUGGUGUCACUACCUAAAGAAGUCAUGCAUUGCUCUCCUAGUGAAGAACUUGCUUCACCAUUGCUAUAGAUGCUGUUGUUGUUAUAUGUUGAUGCUGAUUUUCUACAUGGUCUCUUUACUACUAGAACAGCUAAGGAUCCUCUCAUUAUACAAGGAAUUUCUUUUUCCUAUUUUCUUUCCUUCUUCCAUUCAUUUAAUCCUCAGAAAAAGAGAAAAGGCUUUGAGUUCUGUCUUAUUCAAGUAGUGUUGAGCAUAUUUCUUGAUAAGUAACAAAUUCUUAGCAAAUGUAUAUUCUCUGUAAAUAUAUAUUCUUCUAAGAUAUUCACUUUUGGAGACAAAAAGCACACACUUCAGAGUGAAACAGCCAUCAUUUCAAACCUGUGUACUGCUUCCUGCAGGUGGUAUGAUUUGGGGCAGUUACUUCACCUCUGAGCUUCCAUUUCCUCGUUUUUAAAGCACGGUGGCAAUACCUACCUCAGGGUGGUUGUAGAAAGAAAUAAUAUGGUGUAUGUGACUGGUGUGGCAUGCAGUAAGUGCUCAAAAAAGGUAGCUGGAGUGAAUUCAGUGUUAUGUACCCACCUCCUACACUUGGGGCAGAAUUGCUUAAAGUAACCCAACUGCGAACCUCCACGGACCAUCUAUCUACAUGGUGUCUGGGAGCCCCAUCCACCUACAGUGAGAGCUCAGUGGUUCUCAACCAGGGGUAAAUUUUCUACCAAGAGCACAUUUUUGGUCAUCACAACUGAAGGAGAAGGUGCUACAGGCAUUUGAUGAGUAGAGUAGAGGCCACUGAUGCUACUGAACAUGUUACAAUGCACAGGACAGCAUCCACAAUAAAAAAUUAUCUGGCCCCAAAUAUCAAUGGUGCUGAUGUUGACAAAUCCUACUUCAGCUUUGUAUUUUAUUUACUGAUGUAAGUACCUUAAGUGCCAUUAAGGGCAGAUUCUCUUCCUAAUUUCUGUUUCUUUUCAAAAAAUUUAUUUGCUUUUGUAAAAUUCAUUUUGUAAAUGAAUUUUAAAACAGCUCUGUCAAAUGGGAUCACAUUAAUCUAAAAAGCUUCUGAGUAGCAAAGGAAUCAAUCAGCAAAAUGAAGAGACAACAUUCAGAACGGGAGAAAAUAUUUACAAACUACCCAUCUGACAAAGUACAAAUAACCAGUCUAUCUAAGAAUUCAAACAACUCAAGAGGAAAACAAACAAACAAAAAAAUCCAAUCAAAAUGGGCAAAAGAU